GAGGUGACUCGCACUGCAAAAACCUUCAAGUCACUGUUUGGGUGAUUCUUGCAGUAUUUUCCCCCAGCACGUUUCAUGCAAGACUGUCUGGCUUUAAUCUGUUCUUUGAGUAGCCAGGGAAAGAAGAAAAGAAGAUUUCUGAAUUUCAAUCGGGGCACCCUUAUCUCAGCCUCCCCCAUCUGGCAGCUCCCCUCUCCCUGCCCUCCGGUCCCCCUCACGCAGUGAUUUACAUGCUGCGUGCAAGGCACCUGGGAGGGAGGCAUGCUGCCCUUAUCUCCAGGACGGGGCUUGGGAAGCCGCGACGCAGAAGUCUCAGGAAUGAUUGCAGGUACCUGCCUCUACAUGAGCUCGUUUCAACGGCACGCUGAAAAGCAGCUGACACCUUCCUGGAAUAUAUAAUGGGAGAAUAUCAAAGAAAAGUAGGGGAGCAAUCUUGCCUCUAUUCACUUUGCUGCUGAAAGCAUUGCUACGGAUGUUAUUUCCAGCUCGGGUGUCCAGAAUUAAGAAGGACACAGAAAUCCUGCAAAGGAAGGCCAUGCAGGCAGUCCAGGUAUCAGAAAACAAGCUCCGGUACAAGACUGGGGGUGCACAAACAGCUCAGCUUGCAGGAGAGAAGACUGAGGCAUGCCCUGAUCUCAGUGAGAACAGUUCUUGACAGUUCAGCAGCCUCAGUCUUGCAGAAAAGUGCACGACAAGAUCUGAAAGCCAAAGCAGAAGUUGGAAAAAUUCAGCUUGGAAACAAUACGGAAGAUCCUAGCAGGAGAUGCUGGAAGAACUGACUCCAGAAGGCAGCACGUUUAUUGAUUUCACAGCAAAUUCACAUAUGGGAAAUGUAAUCCAGGUUCUGGGAGAGGCUCCUUAGCCCUGGUGUGCACAAGAGGCGCAGGUGACUCCCUCUGCACCCAGGGUGCUUCUGCCACCCCAGGGACACCAGGACUGCCCAUGCUGGCCUCGAGAUGUUCAUGGCAUUUCCACCUCUGCACUGCAGGGAAGUGACUCCUGCUGCUACCAGGCUGGGGGCUGUGACUGUGACACCUCAAGUCCCCUGCCAGGGUGCUGGGCAGCAGGGCACCCAGCCCGCACGGCAGCCGUGCAAGCAUCCUCUGGACACAUCUCACCAAGCAUUUGUGUGAAAAAAUGCCCUGGAUCAAAAGCAAUAUUUUCUCCUUGUGCAUUUUCUCAUAAUUUAUUAAUAAGAAAUUACAUCUAUUCUGUUGAAAUGAAGAAGUUUGGAAGUUUGGUGUGUUAUUUCCCUGCCUCGUCUCCCAUCUCUUCCCGUGACUUGUUCCUGCUCCGAAGCGGAGCAGACGGCUGGUGGGUGGGGGCUGCCUUCUGACUUUUCCCUUUCGAUCUGGAAUGGGGCCAAACUUCCUCAAC